rnacentral:rRNA from 1 species
ACGCUCGACACCUACGGGGCAGCAGUCGGGAAUAUUGCGCAAUGGAGGAAACUCUGACGCAGUGACGCCGCGUGCAGGAAGAAGGUUUUCGGAUUGUAAACUGCUUUAGACAGGGAAGAAAGAAAUGACAGUACCUGUAGAAUAAGCUCCGGCUAACUACGUGCCAGCAGCCUCGGUAAUCUGAGCGGGCUGGCAAGGC